CCUACGGGCGGCAGCAGUGGGGAAUAUUGCACAAUGGGGGGAACCCUGAUGCAGCGACGCCGCGUGGGUGCAGGAGUAUUUCGGUAUGUAACGCCCUAUCAGCAGGGAAGAACAAUGACGGUACCUGACUAAGAAGCACCGGCUAAAUACGUGCCAGCAGCCGCGGUAAUACGUAUGGUGAAAGCGUUCUGCCGAUUGACGGGGGGUAAAGGGGGCGCAGGCGGGGCGGUAAGCCUGGUGUGAAAGGCCGCGGCCUAACCGCGGGACUGACUUGGUCACUGGCGCGCUGGAGUGCCGGAGGGGUAGGCGGACUUCCUUGUGUAGCGGUGAAAUGCGUAGAUCUUAGGAGGAACACCAGUGGCGCAGGCGGCCUACUGGACGGUGACUGACGCUGAGGCUCGAAAGCGUGGGGAGCAAACAGGAUUAGAUACCCCAGUAGUC
rnacentral:rRNA from 1 species